UGGGGAAUCUUGCGCAAUGGGCGAAAGCCUGACGCAGCGACGCCGCGUGAGGGAAGAAGGCCUUCGGGUUGUAAACCUCUUUCAGGAGGGACGAAGCCACUCGGGUGAAUAGCCCAGAGGGUGACGGUACCUCCAGAAGAAGCCCCGGCUAACUACGUGCCAGCAGCCGCGGUAAUACGUAGGGGGCUAGCGUUGUCCGGAUUUAUUGGGCGUAAAGAGCGUGUAGGCGGCCAGAUAGGUCCGUUGUGAAAACUGGAGGCUUAACCUCCAGCCGUCGAUGGAAACCAUCUGGCUAGAGUCCGGAAGAGGAGAGUGGAAUUCCUGGUGUAGCGGUGAAAUGCGCAGAUAUCAGGAAGAACACCCGUGGCGAAGGCGGCUCUCUGGGACGGUACUGACGCUGAGACGCGAAAAGCGUGGGGAGCGAACAGGAUUAGAUACCCUGGUAGUCCACGCCGUAAACGAUGGGUGCUAGGUGUGGGCGGUGUCGACUCCGUCCGUGCCGAAGCUAACGCAUUAAGCACCCCGCCU
rnacentral:rRNA from 1 species